rnacentral:rRNA from 1 species
UAAGGAAUAUUGCGCAAUGGGGGAAACCCUGACGCAGCAACGCCGCGUGGAGGAUGACACUUUUCGGAGCGUAAACUCCUUUUAUCAGGAAAGAAUAAUGACGGUACCUGAUGAAUAAGCACCGGCUAACUCCGUGCCAGCAGCCGCGGUAAUACGGGGGGUGCAAGCGUUACUCGGAAUCACUGGGCGUAAAGGACGCGUAGGCGGAUUAUCAAGUCUUUUGUGAAAUCUAGUGGCUUAACCACUAAACUGCUUAGGAAACUGAUAGUCUAGAGUAGGGGAGAGGUAGAUGGAAUUCUUGGUGUAGGGGUAAAAUCCGUAGAGAUCAAGAAGAAUACCCAGUGCGAAAGCGGUCUGCUGGAACCUAACUGACGCUGAGGCGUGAAAGCGUGGGUAGCAAACAGG